rnacentral:rRNA from 1 species
CAGUCGCCACGGUAAUACAUAGGAUGCAAGCGCUAUCCAGAAUGAUUGGGCGUAAAGCAUCUUUAGGUGGCUUUUCAAGUCCGUCGUCAAAUCCCAGGGCUCAGCCCUGGACAGGCGGUGGAAACUACUAAGCUGGAGUACGAUAGGGGCAGAGGGAAUUUCCGGUGGAGCAGUGAAAUGCGUCGAGAUUGGAAGGAACACCAACGGCGAAAGCACUCUGUUGGGCCGACACUGACACUGAGAGACGAAAGCUAAGGGAGCAAAUGGGAUUAGAUACCCCAGUAGUCCCUGUCUCUUAUAC